rnacentral:lncRNA from 1 species
AAUUGCUUAACUAAUUUGUUUUCUUCCUAAUCGCUUUCCCAACUAACCUAAUUGCAUACAAUAACUAACAAAUCCAAACCAAUUCCAACAGAAAUAAAGGCUAUAUAAAGGAACCUUACUGCAUUUUCGGUGAGGAUGGAUGAUACAUUUCCGUUUUAGAUACUGCAUUUCUGUUUUGGAUGCUGCAUUUUUCUGUUCUGCAUUUCUGUUUUCACUUCUGCAUAACCUCAUGCUUCAUCCACGAAUCCUCCACAGUUUUUUCGUCCUCCACCCUUCCAAUUCCAAUCGGCUUCCAUUUCGAUCAUCUUCAUCUUCGGUUCACCAGAAGAACACCAGAAAAUCCACAAGAAGAAGAGUAACUCAUAACAGAAACGCAUAUGGUUGAGAAGAAGGAGAAGUGAAUCAAAAAGAAGGGGUUUCAUACCCGAGUGAAUUCGGUUUUGACCAUCUGAUACGGAUCGGGACUCUAUAAAAUAUAGUCUAUCGGAUACUUGACUGCAAAUGCGCAGUCUAAUCGUUUUAGUUUUAAAAGAUAUCGAACCCACAGGGACCGAUGGUCAAAUUAAUGUUAUCGAUGUUACUAUGUUUUAGCUAAGGAGAUGAUUUUUAGAGGUUUGGUUGAACAAAAAUUAGAUCUAAAAGAAAUUACGUUUUUAAGAAAAUAUUAAUAGAGGAAUUCGAUAAGUCACCGGUGUAUAUUUUAAGUACCAAAUAUCUUUAAGUAGAAAAUACUCAUUUAAAAAGCUUUAUCUCACACUCUCG